UAACUUACUCUUACAUCACUUACAAAUCACC
rnacentral:piRNA from 1 species